ensembl:miRNA
AGGAUGACUGAUUUCUUUUGGUGUUCAGAGUCAAUAAUAUUUUCUAGCACCAUUUGAAAUCGGUUAUAGU